rnacentral:rRNA from 1 species
UACGUAGGGUGCGAGCGUUAAUCGGAAUUACUGGGCGUAAAGCGUGCGCAGGCGGCUUUGUAAGCCUGAUGUGAAAUCCCCGGGCUUAACCUGGGAAUGGCAUUUGGGACUGCAAGGCUGGAGUAUGGCAGAGGAGACUGGAAUUCCUGGUGUAGCAGUGAAAUGCGUAGAUAUCAGGAGGAAUACCGAUGGCGAAGGCAGGUCUCUGGGCUGACACUGACGCUCAUGCACGAAAGCGUGGGGAGCAAACAGG